UUUGGUACGGAAUAGCCUCUGGAAACGGAGAGUANUACCGUAUGAGCCCUUCGGGGGAAAGAUUUAUCGCCAAAGGAUUGGCCCGCGUUAGAUUAGGUAGUUGGUGGGGUAAUGGCCUACCAAGCCUACGAUCUAUAGCUGGUUUUAGAGGAUGAUCAGCAACACUGGGACUGAGACACGGCCCAGACUCCUACGGGAGGCAGCAGUGGGGAAUCUUGGACAAUGGGGGCAACCCUGAUCCAGCCAUGCCGCGUGAGUGAUGAAGGCCUUAGGGUCGUAAAGCUCUUUCGCCUGUGAAGAUAAUGACGGUAGCAGGUAAAGAAACCCCGGCUAACUCCGUGCCAGCAGCCGCGGUAAUACGGAGGGGGUUAGCGUUGUUCGGAAUUACUGGGCGUAAAGCGCACGUAGGCGGACUGGAAAGUUGGGGGUGAAAUCCCAGGGCUCAACCCUGGAACUGCCUCCAAAAACUAUCAGUCUAGAGUUCGAGAGA
rnacentral:rRNA from 1 species